AUUCUAGUAGCUACAGCAAAAUGGCUGAAUUGAUAGUAGAAAGACACUGUAGGCCAAUACAGCUGAGGCUGAGAUUCCUUGGCACCACAUCCAAAGGCAUGUCUGAAAGCUGUGCAUCUAAAGCCGGCAGCUGGACAAAAGAUAAUGUGCCAGUGAUGGUUUCCUAUUUCAGAAGGAUAGGAAGAAGUGCAGAGAAUGAAGCACCCCAAUUCCUGAGAACCAGCCCUGAGGAAAUGUGUCUUCCAUUGGCUGCAGAGGCUUUUGUGUGAUAUCUGUGCAAGGCCACCAUACUGACACUUUGCCCAAUGUGAUCAAAGGGAUAUCACAAAAGCUCCCAUCUAGGGCUACUUUGUGAAGUUAGUAAAAAUGUAAUCUUUGUAUAAGGUA